rnacentral:rRNA from 1 species
CAACCCUUAUUGUUAGUUGCCAUCAUUGAGUUGGGCACUCUAGCGAGACUGCCGGUAAUAAACCGGAGGAAGGUGGGGAUGACGUCAAAUCAUCAUGCCCCUUAUGACCUGGGCUACACACGUGCUACAAUGGCUGGUACAACGAGUCGCAAGCCGGUGACGGCAAGCUAAUCUCUGAAAGCCAGUCUCAGUUCGGAUUGUAGGCUGCAACUCGCCUACAUGAAGUCGGAAUCGCUAGUAAUCGCGGAUCAGCACGCCGCGGUGAAUACGUUCCCGGGCCUUGUACACACCGCCCGUCACACCACGAGAGUUUGUAACACCCGAAGUCGGUGAGGUAACCGUAAGGAGCCAGCCGCCUAAGGUGGGAUAGAUGAUUGGGGUGAUGUCGUAACAAGGUAGCCG